rnacentral:rRNA from 1 species
ACCGUGCCAGCAGCCGCGGUAAUACGGAGGGUGCAAGCGUUAAUCGGAAUUACUGGGGGUAAAGCGCACGCAGGCGGUCUGUCAAGUCGGAUGUGAAAUCCCCGGGCUCAACCUGGGAACUGCAUUCGAAACUGGCAGGCUAGAGUCUUGUAGAGGGGGGUAGAAUUCCAGGUGUAGCGGUGAAAUGCGUAGAGAUCUGGAGGAAUACCGGUGGCGAAGGCGGCCCCCUGGACAAAGACUGACGCUCAGGUGCGAAAGCGUGGGGAGCAAACAGG